GAUGAACGCUGGCGGCGUGCCUAAUACAUGCAAGUCGAGCGAACAGACGAGGAGCUUGCUCCUCUGACGUUAGCGGCGGACGGGUGAGUAACACGUGGAUAACCUACCUAUAAGACUGGGAUAACUUCGGGAAACCGGAGCUAAUACCGGAUAAUAUAUUGAACCGCAUGGUUCAAUAGUGAAAGACGGUUUUGCUGUCACUUAUAGAUGGAUCCGCGCCGCAUUAGCUAGUUGGUAAGGUAACGGCUUACCAAGGCAACGAUGCGUAGCCGACCUGAGAGGGUGAUCGGCCACACUGGAACUGAGACACGGCCCAGACUCCUACGGGAGGCAGCAGUAGGGAAUCUUGGGCAAUGGGCGAAAGCCUGACGGAGCAACGCCGCGUGAGGGAUGAAGGUCUUCGGAUCGUAAAACGCUGUUGUUAGGGAAGAAAAGAUGUGUAAGUAACUAUGCACGUCUUGACGGUACCGAAUCAGAAAGCCACGGCUAACUACGUG
rnacentral:rRNA from 1 species